UGCAAAACACAAACUACACAUACUCCCCCUGGGGUUAAAAGGCCUAUCUGCCUUCACUUUAUCACAAUAUAUAUAUAUUAAUUGGGGUAGCCCCCAAAAUAUUGGGACAUAAAAAAAAACACAACUCUGUUCCACAGAGUAGCUGUUGACAUUAUAGUUGCGCAGGAACUUUGUUGACUCUAGAGAACCUUGGGCAAAUCGCAUAUCCCCGUGGCGGCGACUUUGCAUGCGGAUGUCAUCCAUAUCAGCUUUCGAUGCCAGUUUCCGCACCUACCAUCGUGAUGAUGGGUAACAGGGAAUCUAGGGUUCCAUUCCGUACAGGGACCCUGAGAAUUGGCUACCACAUGCAAGGAAGGCGGCA